CCUACGGGAGGCAGCAGUGGGGAAUAUUGCACAAUGGGGGAAACUCUGAUGCAGCAACGCCGCGUGAGUGAGGAAGUAUUUCGGUAUGUAAAGCUCUAUCAGCAGGGAAUAGAAAAGAUGGUACCUGAAAAAGAAGCCCCGGCCAAUUACGUGCCAGCAGCCGCGGUAAUACGUAGGGGGCAGGCGGUAUCCGGAUUUACUGGGUGGAAAGGGAGCGUAGACGGAAUGGCAAGUCAGAAGUGAAAACGCAAGGGUCAACCAAGAGACUGCUUUUGAAACUGUCCAACUAGAGUACGGGAGAGGUAAGAGGAAUUCCAAGUGUAGCGGUGAAAUGCGUAGAUAUUAGGAGGAACACCAGUGGCGAAGGCGUCUUACUGGACCGUAACUGACGUUGAGGCUCGAAAGCGUGGGGAGCAAACAGGAUUAGAUACCCUUGUAGUC
rnacentral:rRNA from 1 species